rnacentral:rRNA from 1 species
UACGGAGGGUGCGAGCGUUGUCCGGAUUUAUUGGGUUUAAAGGGUGCGUAGGUGGCUUUUUAAGUCAGUGGUGAAAUACAGCCGCUCAACGGUUGAGGUGCCAUUGAUACUGAAGAGCUUGAAACAAGUGGAGGCUGCCGGAAUGGAUGGUGUAGCGGUGAAAUGCAUAGAUAUCAGGAAGAACACCCGUGGCGAAGGCGGCUCUCUGGGACGGUACUGACGCUGAGACGCGAAAGCGUGGGGAGCGAACAGG